rfam:Trichosporon oleaginosus strain IBC0246 unplaced genomic scaffold CC85scaffold_22, whole genome shotgun sequence.
GCCUCCUUAGCUCAGUGGUAGAGCGUGUCACUAGUAUCUGGAUCACAGAGCCGUUUCAUGACAAGGUCAGUCGUUCAAGUCGGCUAGGAGGCA